rnacentral:rRNA from 1 species
UGACCUCGGAUCAGGUAGGAAUACCCGCUGAACUUAAGCAUAUCAAUAGGCCGGAGGA